rnacentral:lncRNA from 1 species
GAAUUAUAUACUUGCUGGUUAAUACCAUGGCAACAUACAAUUGUAAUUUGUCCUAUUGUAUAAAAAAAAAAAAAAAAAAAAAACACUUUUCAUCCGAUUUUUUUCUUCAAAUUGUAUUACAUUCCGAAGCGUACACACAGUCUUAUAAUGUUUGGUGUUAUUGUUUGAAACCGGAAAGGAACAGGUGACGUUUUAUAUAUAAUUACUGGAACACUUUUAGGAAUGUUUGGUCCUCAAUGCUCUUCAACUUCGUACUUUAUUUUAUCUUUUUAUUUUUUUUUAUUUAGCGUCAAGAAAUCUUUUGCGCGCGCGUCUGGCGUAAAUAUAAAAUUUCGAUCCUGGUAUCUGAUUAUUUUUUAUCUGUUAUUCCUAAGCCACUAUGUCGCCGAUUAAUUGUUAGUUUCCUGCUCAAAUUAAAUUUUCAGUGGAUACAGCUUGAAAACUAGCACGGUUGCCCACGAAUUAUGUGCACCAAUGGAUUCGAUGUUCGUUUGAGAAUCGCAUAUCGAUUUAUUAUUAAUCUGUAGACCAACGAAUUAUAGAAACUUAAUAAAAUGAAAAUGUAUGCCAC